rnacentral:lncRNA from 1 species
AAAUAGCACCUUUCUAAGUUUAUCCUUUGAAAAUUUUAAAUUUUUUAUUUUUCAAAAUUUGAAAUCUUAUCCCCAAAACCUCAUUUCUCACCUCUAAACCCUAAACCUUAAACUCUAAACUCUAAACCCUAAACCCUAAACUGUAAACCCUAAACCCUAAACUCUAAACCCUAAACCCUAAAUCAUAAACUCCACCCUUUAACUAUAAACCCUAAGUUUAUGACUUUUGAUAAAACAUUAAGUGCUAUUUUUGUGACUUUUGACCUUGAAUGCUAGUUUGGGAAUAAAAACUUGAUUUAGUGCUAUUUUUGUCUUUUUAUCUUUCUUUAAUGUCAUUUGGAUUCUUUUAUUUAUAUCAAAACUUCGAGGAAAAUCCCACAAAUACAUUUUAUUCAUUUAUUUAACCAAUUCAUUGGCUUUUUGAAGCGUCAACUAGGGCUUUGAUUAUUACGUUUUUGUCUUAUCUUAGAAGGUAACACUGUAAAAAUCUUACCCCCACCCUGAUGUUAUUAUUUUUAUUUUUUUUGAAAAGACCACCCUGAUGUUAUUGCUACAACGAUAAAGUAAAAUUUGAGGUCGCGGUGGGACUACUGCUGUCUAUCCUGACGAAUACCUUUGAUAAUUAUAUAAUUUUGCACGAUAGGUUACAUAUUUAUCUGUAAACUACUUCAACUUUUUUAAAGGUAUUACAUUUUUUGUCAACAAUAUCCGUGGAUGUCGGUUAUAAUAUCUGUUUUAAUCAGUUUUAAGGAAAAUAAGCCAUACAAAUACAUCAUUGAAUUUUGGAUAAUUUGGUUGACAAGAGAUCAAACAAGAACAUUUUUUACAUAACUGAUAGUACUAUACAAGAUAACAUAUACCAUCAAUAUAUACAUCAUAAUUCUUUUAGUAAGCUAAUUAUGCCGCUGCAAAAGGACUAAUUAUGUUAUUUGAUGAAAAUAAUUAUAUGUGUAAAUUUAAUAUCUACAACCUAAUUAUUUACAUUAAGAAUAUAGUUAUAAGGAUCAAUUAGACAAGUUUUUUUCUUUUUUUUUCCAGUUAGACACGCUUAAAUCAUUAAAAGAUCAUAUAGAUGUAAAAAAAGAUUUCUAAUAUAAUACUCAUAAAAAAUAUAUUUUAACUCAUAUUCCCUGCGUUUCAUAUAAAGUAUCGUUGAAAAGAAAAAAUUUCGUUACAAAAUAAAUGUCAUUUUAGUAUUUCAAUGUAGAAUUUAUUAACUUUAUUUUCUAGUUUAUUUUCUUAUUGGUUGAAAUAUUAUUAUGUGUAUGGAUAAUGAUGUUUUUAUAUAAAAAAUAUACCAAAAUUAUAUGUGUGUGCACAGAUCUAAAAUGAUACUGAAUACGAAACAGAGGGAACAUACCUUAUAAAAAAACUAAAAUGAGAUAAAUUUGUUUGUAAACGCUCUAAAACGCAUAUAUAGCAUAUAUAUGUAUCAGGAUAAUAACCGAUAAAACAGUAAAAGUAUUAUCUUGUCCCGCAGAAGAUAUAUAAUCCUGUAUGCAAAUUUAAAGCAUUUAAAUAAUUAACAAGCCUUAGUCGGUAAAGCCUAACCAGGCUGCAAUUUUUACCGCGUCAAUUCCAGCUCACUAAUCAAUAAAAGCAAAAAUAUAAGUUAAUUAGGAGAAAAAGCCUUAGCGGUGUGCGUGUGAGGCAAAGCCCUAAACCAUUUCAUAAUAUGUAUAUAUACACGCUUAUAUCUUCGUUUCCAAAAUCAUUCUCAAAACAAAAAAAACAUAAUAUACAUCUAUGCUUAGCAUAUCAUGAGCAAUAUCCCCACAUCUCUCACCGACUCAUCUCUUUCUAUCUUUCUCCUCACUAUCUCUUCUGCCGUCGAUCCUUGGCCCUUUUCUAUCUCCGUCUUCUAACAUCAACCUCUGCCUUUUCAUCGUCCUUCAGCGUUUCAUUCAAUCAGUAAGAAAGACUUUAUCUUUUUAAUGGGUUUUGAAGAUCAAGAAGAGCAGAAACAGAGUCCAAAACAGAGUCAGAGCCAGAUGGUGUUCAAGUUUCACUUUUAUGUUCCCCAUCUCCACAUACACCAUCAUCAUAACCACCAUCAUGUUCCGAAAGGCUGUGUCGCGAUCAUGGUGGGACACGAAGGAGAUGAAGAAGGUCUACACAGAUUCGUGGUUCCGUUGAUGUUCUUGAGCCAUCCUCUGUUUUUGAGUCUCUUGAAAGAAGCUGAAGAAAAGUACGGAUUCAAACACGCGGGCCCGAUUACGAUUCCCUGCCGCGUCGAUGAGUUUAAGCAUGUUCAGGAGAUUAUCGACGAGGAGACUCAUCGUCGUCACAGUCACGGACACAACUACCACCACCACCACAACCAUCUGCCAUGUUUCUGAAGACCUGUUGGUUUGGUUUGGUUUGAUUUGACAUAUAAUUGGGUAUAUUGGUUUGGUUUGACUUUCCUUUUGAGAUUGUUUUAGUUAUUGCAUAAUUUUCGUUUGUAGUUAGUGAUGAUGAUGAAAAACAGCGAGUAGUUGAAUGCGAAUGCGAAUGCUUCUCAGCUAUUACGAUGAAAUCGUGAGGAGUACGAAAUUUCAGUUUGUGGUUGUGGGAUAAUGUAUUUAUUUGUUUUUUUUUUCAAGAAAAGGAAUGUAAAAUUUCUUUUAUUUUUAAUUGAUUUUUACGCGUUCGGCCGUUGGGCGUGUUACUAUUACAUCCACAAUGCCAAGUGUCCGGAAUAUAUUGAGAAAAUUAUUCUCAAAGACACAAUUGUGAGUUUUCAAUUACACAACGACGUACUUUCUGCCUUAGACACACAUUUUCUAGGUGUAAUGUCAUAAUUGACCCUGAGCUUGCGUAACUAAAUAGAAGAGACUCGUUUGAAUAAAAUAGGUUGUGUUUUAGCAUAUUUUUUCAAUCAUUAUAAUUCUUAUCUAUAAAUGAAUGGCGAAGAAAAUUUGAAUAUUUCUUUUAUUUUAUUAUCUUUAUCUUCAAACGAAAUUCAUUCAUUGCUUUCUUUCUACUUUUUUUUUUUUGUUCUUAUUUUCUUUCGACUCUGUUUCGUGAGGUUUAUUUUCUCUGACACCACCAUAGCUGCUGCAACUCUUUUACUUUUUUUCAUUACCACUCACUCCACAUCGAUUGUCAUUGUCGUCUUCGCAACAUCACCUUCACCGUCGAAACAUCAGCAUCCUUUCACCACCAUUGAUGUCUCCACAUCACUAUGAAAGAGACUCGGUCUGUGGAGGUCGUGGUGGAGGUGACAGUGGAUAUCGCAAUGGAGGUGACGGUGUUUACGGAGAAAGCGGUGGUGGAAAACAUGAAGGUGUAUAUAGUGGUGGAUGUGGCUACUCGAGAGAAGGAGGUGGUGGUGGAUGUGGUGGAGGUGGAAGACAUGAGGUUGGGUAUACGGAGAUGGAGGUUGUGGAUACAAGUCAUGUUAUUCUUUUGAAUUAAAAAAAUGUGUUCUGGUAUUAUCAUUGUCCCAAACUAAUCUUAUAUCCAUAAUAAGACAUCCACAACCGCAGAUAAAACACUGUUUACAAACAUUACACAUAUGGUCAAGUUACUCUAUUUUACACAUAUGGUCCUUCCAUUUUCUGGAUUUUUGCAAUUUGACCCCAACAUUAUUCAAUUUGCUUAUAGAUCCUCUUGAUUUCGUCGCAAACUUUUAAUGAUGUACUUUAAUCCGUAAUAAUAAUUUUCUUAUCAACUCAUAUCCAUACUUUUUAUGUCCAUUAUAAAUUAUUUAAUAAAAUAAAAUUUUAUAAAAUAUCAAAAAUAUAUAUAUGGAUACAAAUAUAUUUUGUCCACAUAAACUUUUCCACAAAACAAUUAUAACAAUUUCGUGUCUACAGGAGCUUGUUCACAUAAGAUGUGUCCACUGAAUUAUGUCCACAAAAAAGUUUAAUCCAUUUCUCACUUUCAAAACGUCACAAUACGUUCUCUAGAUAGAUUAUCUUCAAACAAAUAACACAAACCCUAGAUAGAUUAAACUUCAAACAAGAGCUUCGUCUACAAUAAAAUGUUAACAAUCAUAAUUACACAAUUAUAAUUGUAUGAGCUUGUCCAUAAGAACACGUCCAGCACAAACUUGUUUAUAACAUAUUCACGUGACUCUUGUCCACAACAUAUAUAUCCACCAGAAAACUGUCCACAAUGUUAACACUCGUCCACAAUUCACAUGUCCACAUAAAACUCGUCCAUAUAUAUAGACGUAUCCAUAAAAACAUGUCACAAAAACCUGUCUCCAAUCCCUUCUCCAACUUCUUUAUUUUAUUCAUGAUUGAUAAAAGAGAGAGACUUCAAGUAUAAGAACAUAUUUGUUGUCCUUUUAUUGAUAGAAAACUAUAAUUUGAGGAUUGUGAAGUAGAACUAGGCAAAUAAAAUUUAUCGGGGGUAUAAACUGCACAACUGAAAGUUUGGUAUUAAUUUAAGAGGACAUUUCUGCAAAAUAAAAAAUCCGGGCCCAAUCGAAAGAAAUCAAAAAGUGAAGGACCAGAUCUGAAAAUAAUUGAAAAUCCACCAUUGUUGCUCGAUCUCUUAUGUGACGAGACAGAGGCGGCGAUGAUGAGCACGACGAGGCUUGAAUACGAGCAUUACACCGUCGGUAGAGCAAGACGACGGAGAUGGUCUGGUGGCCCGGGACAGACGCGACGAGCUGCCGCGGAGAAGAGAGAGCACGAGACAGGUGAAUCAUGGAGGAUAUGAAGCAUACGCGACAGUGGAGGAUUGCAGUGGAUAACUGUUGGUUGGAGUACAGUGACUGGUAAUUGUAAUGGGAGAGAAGUCGCCAAGCUUGGUUUCCACGAGUUGCAGUCGAAGGUGAGAGGACCCACAAAGAAGAUGAAUCCAGUGAAGCUCGCGACAAGACAUAAGGUGUUCCAGUUUGGAAAAAAUUAAUAGCCCAACUAUUUUCCUAACUUAACUAAUAAGAAGAAAGUAACUAGUUCUUUCUUUUGCUAACUACACGUGAAGCUAAAGGGCAUAAUGGUCAAAAAAGAUCUUGGUUUCAUGAAUUGUGUGCUUCAAGCACAAUAUGUACUUUUGUGAAAGGAAAAAGACAAAUGUGUCUUUUAUGGUAACUCACUCGAAUAUAUUCUGUUGUUUAUCUGAAAAGUGAAAAAUUCAACAAUAUCUUCGAUUUACCGGAAAGCAUUCUAUCAUGACUUUGAUUUGAGAUCUUCACAAACUAUAUCGACCAUAAUUAGUCUAUUUUUAAUGGGACAUCCGGUGAUCGAAAUUAAGCUAGGCGUAAGUUAGACAGUCGGUAUAGAUUUAGUUUUUUUUAUUGUCAGCACUAUAACCAGACACAUAUACGCUCUGGAAACCAAACUGGUAACUCCGCAUCCAUAUGCACGACAAACAAACGACGGUUGAUUUCUUGCACUGCGUGUGAAACAAUCCAUUUUUGAAUUCUGCAUCUGUGGUAUAUAAAUAAGAUUUGAGCUGUUGAAACUUCUAUUCAAGAACUUUACGUCUUCCAAAUAAUUUGCAAAGGCUGGCCAUUCUUAUGAUUCUGAAACCAUCUUUAACAACUGAGAACAAUCCGUUGCAAGUGUAACAGAAAAUUGUCUAAGACUUCUCAUGCAUUCCAUUGCCCAAAUGAGAGCCUCUAUAUCCGAAUGAAGUGGCGACUGACUCACUCUUGUAUUCCUCGCUCUCAUUAGACCAUCAAAGUCCUCCAGUGUGCUAUACAACCCUUGGUCCGAAUAGAUUUCCUCAUUUUUCCAAGAUCUAUCCGUAAAGUAUCAUCUACGUGGGAUAUUCAGUAUUAUCGCUGCGACUGGUAAUCUAGUAUGAUCUAUUUCCCGUGUAAGAAAAAUUUGUGUCUCAACCCAAAGUAACGACUCCGUAUCUGCCUAUCUGAGAGUAUCUCAAAUAUCAAUAUCCAAAUUGAUAAAAAAAAAAAAUUUCUUUCCAUAUGUACCAUAAGAUAAAUGCAAUGGUCUACCAAUUUCGGAGAAACCCUCCAAAGAAAUGACCCAUGUUUGCAAAAAGUGAUUACGUGAGAAAAAUAUAUGGAUUCAUUGGAAUUCGUGAAAGUUCGCAUACCUGGAAUGUUGAAUCCGUUUAUGUUGAUGAAAGAAAAAAAAACUGAUUAAUGUGGAAUACACAUAUUCUCGAACUGAAUAACGGAUCAUAUAAUCUAACACGUUAGGCAUAUUUCAAUUUUAUAUAUAGGCUUGUGAUUUCUUUUUAUAAGUUUAUAUCCCAUUUGACUUCUCAAAUCAUACAAAGUCAAAAUAUAUAAUAUAAAAAUUACCAAAAGGAUUACGUAAUAAUAAGUACAUUAAAAAUACUAAUCUCAUGCAGCUGUUGGAAAGACGGAAACAAACAUAAAUAUAGCGUAGUUAUCUAAAACGUUACGACUAUUUAUCUCUACAAUUUGGGCCGGCUUAACAUUGCUAUAUGUCGUAGGACAAAAAAUUUUUUUUUUUACCCUCUAAGAUUUAUAUUCAGAUAAUAUUUAACAUAUUUUUAAAAUUUAAUCAGUAAUAUUUUGUUUAUUUUGUGAUGAAAACAAAACUAUAUGCAUAUUAAAUAUUUUUGGCCCUUUACAAUUUUAUUUAUUAUAUUUAUAAUUUUUUAUAUAAAAAUAUAGACUUUUUAAAAAAAUUAAACCCUUAACUAUUAAUAUACGGGAGGACACGGGCUUGGACCCGGGGCAGUUGAAGAAGCCCCCCCCCUCCUCAGCCGGCCCAGUCUACGAUUAGCGGAAUGAGGUAUUAUAAGUUUGACCAAUUUAAUCGUGUUCAUCCAUUUAUCUAUAAUCACGGUGGCCAUACAUUAGGAAGGGACGGGCCAAGCCAACGGCUGGUGAAAUACACAUUUCUGUAAGGGCAAAUCUCCAAAAUAGCAUUUUUCUAAGUUUAUAUCACAAAAAUAACAUUCAAAAACUAAAAUGACCAAAAUAGCACCUUUCUAAGUUUAUCCUUUGAAAAUUUUAAAUUUUUUAUUUUUCAAAAUUUGAAAUCUUAUCCCCAAAACCUCAUUUCUCACCUCUAAACCCUAAACCUUAAACUCUAAACUCUAAACCCUAAACCCUAAACUGUAAACCCUAAACCCUAAACUCUAAACCCUAAACCCUAAAUCAUAAACUCCACCCUUUAACUAUAAACCCUAAGUUUAUGACUUUUGAUAAAACAUUAAGUGCUAUUUUUGUGACUUUUGACC